GACGAACGCUGGCGGCGUGCUUAACACAUGCAAGUCGAACGAAGUGGCAAACGGGUGAGUAACGCGUACUCAACCUGCCCUUCAGAGGGGGACAACAGUUGGAAACGACUACUAAUACCGCAUAAUGUAGAAGGGGAUUGCGUUGGAUUAGCUAGUUGGAGGGGUAACGGCCCACCAAGGCGAAGAUCCGUAGCCGGUCUGAGAGGAGGAACGGCCACAUUGGGACUGAGACACGGCCCAGACUCCUACGGGAGGCAGCAGUGGGGAAUCUUCCGCAAUGGACGAAAGUCUGACGGAGCAACGCCGCGUGAGUGAUGACGGCCUUCGGGUUGUAAAGCUCUGUUAAUCGGGACGCGGUACCGGAAUAGAAAGCCACGGCUAACUACGUGCCAGCAGCCGCGGUAAUUC
rnacentral:rRNA from 1 species